rnacentral:rRNA from 1 species
ACUCCUACGGGAGGCAGCAGUGGGGAAUAUUGGACAAUGGGCGAAAGCCUGAUCCAGCCAUGCCGCGUGUGUGAAGAAGGUCUUCGGAUUGUAAAGCACUUUAAGUUGGGAGGAAGGGCAGUUACCUAAUACGUAAUUGUUUUGACGUUACCGACAGAAUAAGCACCGGCUAACUCUGUGCCAGCAGCCGCGGUAAU